GGAGUUGUGAUUUCAUUAGAAUAGAACUCCCACUAUGGAAAUUCCUACCAUUUGUGUAAAUCAGCAGCUGGAAAGGGAAAUAGUCUGUUAUCUUCAAAGCAAUCAUGGGAUCAUCAUUCUUUUGGUGAUUGACUCUCAGGAAUGAUUGGGUCCAAUGACGGCAGAAAGAAUAACACCUAAGGGAACUGAAAUCUCUCCUAAAAUGGAAAUGUGGAAACUGCAGGCACUGAAGCUAAAUUUUGAGAGUAUAAAGACAACAUCGUGACAGUUCUUGCCCUCAAGAAGCUUACAAAAGUUCUUCAAUCAAACUCAGCUGGUCUACCUAUGUACAUUUCUCCUUCUACACCUGUCCCUACCUAGAAGACAUGAUGCAUGUUGAGGAAAAGAAUUAGAAAUACCUUCUUUUGCAUUAAACUGCUGGUGUAAGGUUGUGUGACCCAAUACUUCUUUAUUUUAUCAAUGAUGCAUAUUUGCCAUGCUAGUAAUGAAAUC